CUGCAUUGUUCGUAACCUGUUGCAAGUUACCUUUCCUAGCAGCGGGUUCCAUUCCAAUGCAAAAUCAUUUUCAAAUGGGCAGUGGGUUGAUGGCUUGUCUGUAGCCCAGCUUGGUCCAAUGUUGGUACAUUA